rnacentral:rRNA from 1 species
GUAGCAGCUGGAAACGGACGUGGUAAUACCGCCAUAAGCGCACAAUGUUGCAUGACAUGGUGUGAAAACUACCGGUGGUAUAAGAUGGACCCGCGUCUGAUUAGCUAGUUGGUGAGAUAACAGCCCACCAAGGCGACGAUCAGUAGCCGACCUGAGAGGGUGACCGGCCACAUUGGGACUGAGACACGGCCCAGACUCCUACGGGAGGCAGCAUG